rnacentral:snRNA from 1 species
AGACUCUGGUUUCUCUUCAAAACAAACAAAUCUUUCACCUCUUACUAAAGAUUUCCAUGGAGAACAGUUAUGAGUUGGUGAGCUGGUAACCACAUUUUUGAGGUCUUGCUCAGGCAAGGU